CUUUUUUCCUCAUUAAAGGCUUGGCUGGGCUCUGCUAUCCUUCUCUCCUUCCCAUGGCUGUCACUGCUAAUCUUCACCAAUUCAUCUUUAUUUUGAAGGUCAUGGAACUCCAGAGAUGUUUAGAUGUAUUUGAGCUGGCAGGAGAAUUAUUUUACUUCAUUCAUUCCUACAUACAAAAGACCACACCAGCAAGUCUGUUUAACUGAAUGUGGUAUUUUCACAAGGAAUAAUGAUCUGAGGAAAGGGGGCCUGUUCCCGAAAGUGGGAUUGUAGAUGCUAGUCUUGGCUCAAUUUCUGGGGUUUAUUAAAAGAGUGUU
rnacentral:lncRNA from 1 species